rnacentral:lncRNA from 1 species
CACAACAACCAUAUCCACAACCGGAACCACAGUAUCCGCAACCACAACAACCAAUUUCGCAACAGCAGCAGCAGCAACAACAACAACAACAACAAAUCCUUCAACAAAUUUUGCAACAACAACUGAUUCCAUGCAGGGAUGUCAUCUUGCAACAACACAACAUAGCGCAUGCAAGCUCACAAGUUUUGCAACAAAGUACUUACCAGUUGUUGCAACAAUUGUGUUGUCAGCAGCUGUGGCAGAUCCCCGAGCAGUCGCGGUGCCAAGCCAUCCAGAAUGUUGUUCAUGCUAUUAUUCUGCAUCAACAACAACAACGACAACAACAACAACAACAACAACAACAACAACAACAACAACAACAACAACAACAACAACAACAACAACAACAACAACAACAACAACAGCAGCAACAACCGUCGAGCCAGGUCUCCUUCCAACAGCCUCAGCAACAAUAUCCAUCAGGCCAGGGCUCCUUCCAGCCAUCUCAGCAAAACCCACAGGCCCAGAGCUCUGUCCAACAUCAACAACUACCCCAAUUUGAGGAAAUAAGGAACCUAGCACUGCAGACGCUACCAGCAGUGUGCAAUGUCUACAUCCCUCCAUAUUGCUCGACCACCAUUGCGCCAUUUGGCAUCUUCGGUACUAACUGAGAAGAGAAGAACUCUAGUACUAGAUAUAUGAAACACUGUUUUCUUAGUCCAUGGUUUGGUCAUUGUAGCGGUGAGAAAAUAAAGUGACAUGCACUAUCAUGUAAGAACCCGAACUAUACUAGUUCAAACUUGGGAAUAAAAGACAAACACAGGUCUUGUCUACAUAUGGUUGUUUCUUUGUGUUCCAUUCAUGUGCCCGUUCACAAGUUCACCCCUAAUUAUAUAUAUUAUGCAUUACGUAGAUAUUUAUGUUGCAUUAAUUUACAGAUAAUAAAAUGAGUCUGAAACUUGAAUUAAAUUGAAGUAUUUUCUUGGACUUUCAAAUUGACUAUUAUUAAAGUAGUAAGGACUAUCCACAUCCUUGGCUCGCCCUUGAUCAAUUAAUUCCAGAGAAGCAUUCAAUUCAUCAAUCAAUUACAUUGAUUUUUGUGGCUCGUACUUCUCCUCAACAUGAGUAUAUUCAUUGCAGCUACUUCGAAUCGGCAUGAAUGAGGUACUGGUGCCUGGAGCAGUGCUAGCUGAUUGCCUCUAAUGUGAAGGGGCGUGGGCACAGGAGAGGUGUUUUGGGUGGGCCAGGCGAGUAAGAAGCGGGCCCAUCAGCGGUCCGGACGCCCGCAAAGCCCCGUAGUUUGUUUUCGGUUUACAGGAAAAAAACACAUCCGGACCGGCCUGCGGGCCAAUAUAGGACCGUACGUAUUGGAUGGCAAAACAUGUUCGGAUGGUUGCGAGCAGUUUGAGGGAUAGCUUUAGAGAUAGCCCUUACUUGACCCCUCGUUCCGAAAACAAUUAUGACGAUAGAUUUGCCUCGGUUCAGAAAUAUGUCAGGUUUAACAAAGUUUAUUGGAAUUUUCUUUAUCAUAUCUACAGUACCAUACAAAUACACCAUAGAAAAAGAAGCAUAUUUCAUGAUUCACCAUGAAUUGGCCAGGUAAAUGUUGGGUCUGGAGACUCUAUUCUCUUUUGGCAUGAGUUGCCUAGGUCUCAAAAGUUUCAUGAACCGUUCUCUUUUGCCAUUAAGAAAAAGCCCUCUUUGGCUGAUUUUAUUCAUAGUGAUGAUCUGACUCUCCAUUUUCAUAGGCAUACCACCCUGCAAGCUCUUGCUCAAUUCAUUGACAUCAUUGACUUAGUUCAUAAAAAAAUCAACAAAGGAAUAAAAUAAUAUCACGAAGAUACCAAUUACACCCGUCCUCUCUAUCAACAAGCUAGAUGUCCAAAGACAUCAAGGAUACACACAGCUGGAAAAAAUAAUAGAAGAAAAAAGAUCCCGCCAUGGUGAUCGAUCACUAGCAUCUGUAGCACUCUAACCACCACCAAAGACAACACCCGGAUUACCAAAAAAAUUCUCCAGAAACAACCCCCCAAGAAGGAAACAAUGCACAAGCGUUGUCAUUACCCGAUUGAAGAUCGUGGGUUUUGACCCUAGAAAAAUUUCAAGCUCACCCAAAAACAUUGCCUUCAUCAAGGCCAUUGGCAGGUACAACCAAUAAAGGCUAGACCUUGGAUUUUCACCCUAGGAAUUGAGACUCAGUACUCGAGGAGUACCACCAAAAAUGCAGUCCUCCAGUGAUGGUGCCCCCGCUUGCCGAGGCCGCUAUUUCAAGUCACCAAACACAUGGCGCACAUUCUUCAACGCAUCAAUUACACCCUUCCAGCAAAGCUUCAAGACCUCGAAUUGCAGUCGCGAUGACUUUCUCCACCUCUAUCAAUGCCUUAAGAAUCUUGACUUAGACAUGUCCCAUGACACCAAUAAGAAAUUGAAGCUUCUUGUCGCGCCCUCUUGAGGUCGUGUUGGCUAAUAAUAUGAGCGUGCGCCACCGGAGCCUUUCUGAUCUAGAUAUCCAGGGGCGACAUACACAAAUCUGUAUAGAUAUCCGAUGGGAAAGAGCAAAAUUGGUCACCGGCUAGAUCUAAGAGGUUUGGUCACCGGCUAGAUCUAAGAGGUCGACAUCCGGCAGAAAGGCAACUUGGCGGAAGAACAGUACUAGGGCCAAACCACCAUUAUUACGCUGAGGCUAUCUGUGGUGUCCAAGGCCCAAUGCACCACAUGUCUUCAAAUUGGCCACCAGUAGUAGCCCUUAGAAUAGACAGGGCCAGUUUGCAAAUUUUAAAACAUAGGUUUUUAGCACGCAUGAAAAACAUAAUACGUAUCUUUCCACACAUAAUGAACUAUAGGUACCACCCAAAAAAACAUAAUGAACUAUAGGUUGUCAUCAGAACUCAUGCCAUCCCACAGCCUCCCUCCGACCCUGCCAACAUUAUUGCAGCUGCACUCGCAAGCGUUACCGUGGAUGAUCAUUUGCAUGAUUUCACGUAAAACAAAAUAAGAGCUACAAAUGAAUAAAAGCUACACAUACCUUGGCAUACACACACAUUGCAAGCCAUACUAUGCUGCUAAGUGUUAAUAACUUGUACAACAUAUACAACAGUUAAGACAAGUAAAAGCAAUUUGAUGGGUCAUGUCUAUCAAAGCAAGCUACAUUACUACUUUAAUCUAUCUUAAAUGGGUCACACAUGAUUAUAAUCUUUUUUGUGUGCAACUAAAGCUUAUCUAGUUUACACGUAACAACUUGUACAACAUUACAAAGUUGAUGUUUGCUAAUAACUUCUAGAACACUACGGCACUUGACAUGUAAAAGGAAUUUGAUGAGUCAUGGCCUACUAAAGCAAGUUACAUUACUAGUCUCCUCUAUCUUAACAGGCCACAGAAGAUUACAAACUAGGUUUCGUGCAUGCAAUGCUUAUCUAGUUUACACCUAACAACUUGCAUAACAUUACAAACUUAGUUUGAGAAAAUUAGGUAAUCUAGAUUAGUGUUUGAGUUGUAAAGUGAAUAAGAUGAGUCAUGUGUGUUAUCAUAGAUUUUUGGUGGUGGAAUGAUAGUGCCACCAAACACAACAUAUCAAAUUAUGAUUUCAGGAAGCUUCCAAGCACUUUCUUGGCAAGCAAAUGCCAACUGUGAAGGUGAUUAUGCCAUGGUAGCUAUAAAUAGGACUGUAGCAUGAUGAUCAUCCUUCCUCAUCCAUCAUUCUCGUAAGUAGAGCGCACCAUUCAAGCCAAGCAAGCAGUGGUCAAUACAAAUCCACCAUGAAGACCUUUCUCAUCCUUGCCCUCCUUGCUAUCGCGGCGACCACCGCCACAACUGCAGUUAGAGUUCCAGUGCCACAAUUGUAGCCGCAAAAUCCAUCUCAACAACGACCACAAUAGUAAUUUCCGUUGGUGCAACAACAACAAUUUCCAGGGCAGCAACAACCAUUCCCACCACAACAGCCAUAUCCGCAGCCGCAACCGUUUCUGUCACAACAACCAUAUUCGCAACCGUAACCAUUUCCGCCACAACUACCAUAUCCACAAGCGCAACCAUUUCCAACACAACAACCAUAUCCACAACCGCAACCACAGUAUCCGCAACCACAACAACCAAUUUCGCAGCAGCAGCAGCAGCAACAACAACAACAACAACAACAACAACAACAAAUCCUUCAACAAAUUCUGCAACAACAAAUGAUUCCAUGCAGGGAUGUCGUCUUGCAACAACACAACAUUGCAUAUGCAAGCUCACAAGUAUUGCAACAAAGUAGUUACCAACUGUUGCAACAAUUAUGUUGUCAGCAGCUGUGGCAGAUCCCCGAGCAGUCGCGGCGCCAAGCCAUCCACAGUGUCGUUCAUGCUAUUAUUUUCCAUCAUCAUCAACAACAACAACCGUCGAGCCAGGUCUCCUACCAGCAGCCUCAACAACAAUAUCCAUCAAGCCAGGGCUCCUUCUAGCCAUCUCAGCUAAACCCACAGGCCCAGGGCUCUGUCCAGCCUCAACAACUGCCCCGGUUCAAGGAAAUAAGUAACCUAGCGCUGCAGAUGCUGCCAGCAAUGUGCAAUGUCUACAUCCCUCCAUAUUGCUUGAGCACCAUUGUGCCAUUUGGCAUCUUCGGUACUAACUAAUAAGAGAAGAACUCUAGUACUAGACAUAUGAAACACCGUUUUCUUAGUCCAUGGUUUGGUCGUUGUAGCGGUGAAAAAAUAAAGUGACAUGCACUAUCAUGUAAGAACCCGAACUAUACUAGUUCAAACUUGGGAAUAAAAGACAAACACAGGUCUUGUCUGCAUAUGGUUGUAUGUUUGAGUUCCAUUCAUGUGCCCGUUCACAAGUUCACCCCUAUUUAUAUACAUUAUGCA